rnacentral:rRNA from 1 species
CGGUAAUACGUAGGUGGCAAGCGUUGUCCGGAAUUAUUGGGCGUAAAGCGCGCGCAGGUGGUUCCUUAAGUCUGAUGUGAAAGCCCACGGCUCAACCGUGGAGGGUCAUUGGAAACUGGGGAACUUGAGUGCAGAAGAGGAAAGUGGAAUUCCAAGUGUAGCGGUGAAAUGCGUAGAGAUUUGGAGGAACACCAGUGGCGAAGGCGACUUUCUGGUCUGUAACUGACACUGAGGCGCGAAAGCGUGGGGAGCAAACAGGAUU